UACAGAGGUCCCAAGCGUUGUCCGGAAUCAUUGGGCGUAAAGCGCGCGUAGGCGGCCUCAUAAGUCCGUUGUGAAAGUCAAAGGCUCAACCUUUGAAAGCCGAUGGAUACUGUGAGGCUAGAGUCCGGAAGAGGCGAGUGGAAUUCCUGGUGUAGCGGUGGAAUGCGCAGAUAUCAGGAGGAACACCAAUAGCGAAGGCAGCUCGCUGGGACGGUACUGACGCUAAGGCGCGAAAGCGUGGGGAGCGAACGAGG
rnacentral:rRNA from 1 species